AGUGGGCGCACAUUAAGGGGACCGCUGGCGCUAAGUCAGAGGAAGGAGAGGUCAACGGUAGGUCAGUAUGCCCCGAAUCUCCCGGGCUACACGCGCGCUACAAAGGACAGGACAAUGGGAUGCAAUACCGAGAGGUAACGCCAACCCGAAACCUGUUCGUAGUUCGGACUGAGGGCUGUAACCUCGCCCUCACGAAGCUGGAUUCCGUAGUAAUCGCGGGUCAACAUCCCGCGGUGAAUAUGCCCUGCUCUUU
rnacentral:rRNA from 1 species